rnacentral:misc_RNA from 1 species
ACGGACAUUGGAGACUACCAGGUAAAACUGCGCAACCUGGUGCGUUUCCUUGAAGCAGGGGACAGGGUCAAGGUCACGCUACGGUUCCGUGGUCGUGAAAUGGCCCAUCAGGAUCUGGGUCGCAAACUCCUGAAACGGGUUGAAGCGGAUCUCGAGGGUCUCGGGGUCGUCGAGCAGUUCCCGAAGAUGGAGGGGCGGCAAAUGAUCAUGAUUAUCGUCCCCAAGAAGAAGCAAUAGGCAGCCGUUGCCUAUCCACUGCGUGCUACCGUCCGCUGCAAGGUGUCCGGUCGAAAACGUACGCGUACUAGAAUGA